GACGAACGCUGGCGGCGUGCUUAACACAUGCAAGUCGAACGGUAAGGCCCUUCGGGGUACACGAGUGGCGAACGGGUGAGUAACACGUGGGUGAUCUGCCCUGCACUUCGGGAUAAGCCUGGGAAACUGGGUCUGAUACCGGAUAGGACCACUGCCUGCAUGGGUGGUGGUGGAAAGCUUUUGCGGUGUGGGAUGGGCCCGCGGCCUAUCAGCUUGUUGGUGGGGUGAUGGCCUACCAAGGCGACGACGGGUAGCCGGCCUGCGAGGGUGACCGGCCACACUGGGACUGGGAGACGGCCCAGACUCCUACGGGAGGCAGCAGUGGGGAAUAUUGCACAAUGGGCGCAAGCCUGAUGCAGCGACGCCGCGUGAGGGAUGACGGCCUCCGGGUUGUAAACCUCUUUCAGCACCGACGAAGCGCAAGUGACGGUAGGUGCAGAAGAAGGACCGGCCAACUACGUGCCAGCCGCCGCGGUAA
rnacentral:rRNA from 1 species